UACGGGGGGGGGCAAGCGUUGUUCGGAAUUACUGGGCGUAAAGGGCUCGUAGGCGGCCAACUAAGUCAUACGUGAAAUCCCUCGGCUUAACCGGGGAACUGCGUCUGAUACUGGAUGGCUUGAGUUCGGGAGAGGGAUGCGGAAUUCCAGGUGUAGCGGUGAAAUGCGUAGAUAUCUGGAGGAACACCGGUGGCGAAGGCGGGUCUCUGGGCCGAUACUGACGCUGAGGAGCGAAAGCGUGGGGAGCGAACAGG
rnacentral:rRNA from 1 species